AGCGAACGCUGGCGGCAGGCCUAACACAUGCAAGUUGAACGAACCCUUCGGGGUUAGUGGCGGACGGGUGAGUAACACGUGGGAACGUGCCUUUAGGUUCGGAAUAACUCAGGGAAACUUGUGCUAAUACCGAAUGUGCCCUUCGGGGGAAAGAUUUAUCGCCUUUAGAGCGGCCCGCGUCUGAUUAGCUAGUUGGUGAGGUAAAGGCUCACCAAGGCUACGAUCAGUAGCUGGUCUGAGAGGAUGACCAGCCACGUUGGGACUGAGACACGGCCCAAACUCCUACGGGAGGCAGCAGUGGGGAAUCUUGCGCAAUGGGCGAAAGCCUGACGCAGCCAUGCCGCGUGGAUGAUGAAGGUCUUAGGAUUGUAAAAUCCUUUCACCGGUGAAGAUAAUGACUGUAGCCGGAGAAGAAGCCCCGGCUAACUUCGUGCCAGCAGCCGCCGUAACAC
rnacentral:rRNA from 1 species